UCUGAGGGGACUUGGGCCCUUUUUCUUGGCCUUGAGAUUUUAGAAUUUCCUUUUUGUUUUAAGGUGAAUUCUCCCAGUUUGUGAGGGGAAUAUGUCUGAAUUUCAACCCUCAAAGAGGAUUUGGCCUCUUCUCCUGGGUUUUCUUGGAGUUUAAAGGACAAAGAAAUCUGGGCACCACAAGUCUGGCUGUGGGUUUUGCCACCGUUCGCUCCGGCGCCGAUUUCCCCGCGAAAUCCAAGGUCGCCUUUUCCAGGACGCGGAAGAGGAAAAACUCUCCUGGCUCCUCAUCCUCCCAAAAUUCCUUCCCCGCCUGGAGGCUGAGCUGGCUGUGGGAGAAGCUCCCAGCACUGAAGUUUUCCCUGGAUUUUGUGCUGGUCCUGGUAAGAUCCAAAGUUUCCAGGUAGAGCGGGGAGGAAAAAAAAUGGGAUUUAGGGAGCGCGAGAACGACUUCUCGGAGGGCUUUCCCUACUUUUCCAUGGAUCUUCCCUCUCCCCGCUUCACUUUCUGCGGAUUCCGCCCUCUUUUCUCUUCCUCCUUCUCCCCCCAGGUGGAUUCGAGAGGGUUUUGUUGGACAGAUCAGGUUUUGUGUGCGCUGGGGGAGGGGAGGGCAGCGCAUGAAUCCAAACGUUCAUUUUACAACCAGUCCAACCAGUCAGGGCAGAUCCAGGGCUGCCGGGAGGAGGGAGACGAGGGGGGAAGCUGCGCGCAGCCAGGUGCCAGGAAAGGUGGGGAGAAAAGGGAAAUCCCAUUAAAAUCCCCAAAAAUCCCAAUAGAAUCGAUAGGAACAAGCACGGAGUUGAAGGGGGCUCUUCCAAUAUUCCUGGAUUUCAGAAUAUUGGGAUUUAAGGGAGGAUCUCCCAGUUUUCGAGUAAAAGUGACGAUUCCAAAUCCGGGUUUGCUGCUGGCCCUGAAAAAAAAAAAGAGUAUUUGGAAAAUCUGAUCAAUCCCAAUAAAAUCAAUAGGAAAUGAUCAUGGAAUUGAAAGGGGUUCUUCUGAUACUUUUGGAUUUUGGCAUAUUUGGAUUUAAGGGAGGAUCUCCCAGUUUUUGACUAAAAGUGAGGAUUCCAAAUCCGGGUUUGCUGCUGGCUCUGAAAAUUAAAAGGAAUAUUGGGAAAAUCUGAUCAAUCCCAAUAAAAUCGAUAGGAACGAGCACGGAAUUGAAGGGGGUUCUUCUGAUAUUUUUGGAUUUUGGAAUAUUGAGAUUUAAGGGAGGAUCUCCCAGUUUUGGACUGAAAGCGAGGAUCCAAAACCCAAGCUUAGUGCUGGCUCUGGAAAAAAAAAGGGAUAAUUGGAAAAUCUGAUUAAAAUCCCAAUAAAAUCGAUAGGAACGAGCACGGAAUUGAAAAGGGUUUUUCCAAUGUUCCUAGAUUUCAGAAUAUUGAGAUUUAAGGGAGGAUCUCCCAGUUUUUGACUAAAAGCGAGGAUUCCAAAUCCGGGUUUGCUGCUGGCUCUGAAAAUUAAAAGGAAUAUUGGGGAAAUCUGAUCAAAAUCCCAAUAAAAUCGAUAGGAACGAGCACGGAAUUGAAGGGGGUUCUUCCAAUAUUCCUGGAUUUCAGAAUAUUGGGAUUUAAGGGAGGAUCUCCCAGUUUUGGACUGAAAGUGAGGAUACGAAACCCAAGUUUAGUGCUGGGUCUGGAAAAAAAGGAAUAUUAGGAAAAUCUGAUUAAAAUCCCAAUAAUAUCUCUAUUAAAUGAGCAUAAAUUGAAGGGGGUUCUUCCAAUAUUUUUGGAUUUUGGAAUAUUUGGAUUUAAGGGAGGAUCUCCCAGUUUUCGACCAAAAGCGAGGAUUCCAAAUCCGGGUUUGCUGCUGGCUCUGAAAAAAAAGGAAUAUUGGGAAAAUCUGAUCAAUCCCAAUAAAAUCAACAGGAAAUGAGCAUGGAAAUAAAAGGGCUUUUCCAAUAUUCCUGGAUUUCAGAAUACUGGGAUUUAAGGGAGGAUUUCCCAAUUUUGGGAGUAAAAGUCACGAUUGGAGUUUGCUGCUGCUCUGAAAAAAAAGGAAUAUUAUUAAAAUCGGAUUAAAAUUCAAUUAAAAUCCCAAUAAAAUUGAUAUAAAAGGAGCUUGGAAUUGAAGGGGGCUCUUCCAACAUUUGGAAUAUUUUGGAAUAUUGGGAUUUAAGGGAGGAUUUCCCAGAUUUUGCCAAAAGUGAGGAUUCCAAAUCCGGGUUUGCUGCUGGCUCUGAAAAAAAUGGAAUAUUGUUAAAACUGGAUUAAAAUUCAAUUAAAAUCCCAAUAAAAUUGAUAUGAAAUGAGCCUGGAAUUGAAGGGGGCUCUUCCAACAUUUGGAAUAUUUUGGAAUAUUGGGAUUUAAGGGAGGAUUUCCCAGAUUUUGCCAAAAGUGAGGAUUCCAAAUCCGGGUUUGCUGCUGGCUCUGAAAAAAAUGGAAUAUUGUUAAAACUGGAUUAAAAUUCAAUUAAAAUCCCAAUAAAAUUGAUAUGAAAUGAGCCUGGAAUUGAAGGGGGCUCUUCCAACAUUUGGAAUAUUUUGGAAUAUUGGGAUUUAAGGGAGGAUUUCCCAGAUUUUGCCAAAAGUGAGGAUUCCAAAUCCGGGUUUGCUGCUGGCUCUGGUAACGAUUGCCACGUUUUAAUGACUUCGUUAAUUACCCAGCAUUUUAACGAGCUCUCCUCGCCCUCCACAACCCCCCAGCCUCAAAUCUUUCCUCCUCCCCGACCCGAAUUCCUGGGAUCGGGAAUUUUCCGAGCAGGAGAAGAAAAUCUGGGAAUUCUGUUGGGAUCCGAGCGGGCGCGGAGAAAAAUCCGGGCGGGAGGAGCAGGAGCCAUUUUGGGUCGGUUUUGUUGGUUCUUUCUCACCUCGGGCUUUUUGGGUUCUUUUUGGUGCUGAAAAACCCAAAUAUUCCAAUUUUGGCUUUAUCCCGGUGCCGGCUCCAACCGGGACCGGCUUUUCCUGGGUUCUCCUGGAUUUUGGAGAAAUUUCUUGGUGUUUUUUGGAGAAAUUUCCUGGUUUUCUCCUGAAUUUUGGACAAGUUUCCUCAUUUUCCCCUGGAUUUUUGAGAAAUUUCCUGGCGUUCUCCUGGAUUUUGGAGAAAUUUCCUCAUUUUCUCCUGAAUUUUGAACAAAUUUCCUCAUUUUCUCCUGAAUUAUGGAGAAAUUUCCUCAUUUUCUCCUGAAUUUUGGAGAAAUUUCCUGGUGUUUUUUUGGAGAAAUUUCCUGGUUUUCUCCUGGAUUUUGGAGGAAUUUCCUGGUUUUUCUCCCGAAUAUUUGGAGGAAUUUCCUGUGUUCUCCUGGAUUUUGGAGAGUUGGGUUCCAAAGGGAGAAAGAAGAAGUUAAAUAAAAGUGGUUUUAUUUCAUUUUUGGAGGGUGAGGUCAGGCCCUGGGUUCUUCCUCUAAAUCCCAUUUUUGGGGUUACAAUCCCAUUUAAAAAUCCCUUUUUUUUUAAAUUUCAAAAUCCCAUUUUUGGGGUUACAAUCCCCUUUCAAAAUCCCAUUUUUUUUAAAUUUAAAAAUCCAAUUUUUUGAGAUAAAAUCCCAUUUCCAAAUCCAAUUUCUUUGGGUUCGAAUUCCAUUCCAAAAUCCCAUUUUUGGGUCAGAAUUCCAUUGGAAAUGGGGGUGAAAAUCCGGGAGAGGGAUUUUGUUACCCAGGAGCAGGGAAUGCUCUGGGAAUUUCAAUCUGGGUGAGUUUCCCAUUUUCCUUCUGGUUUUCCUCAUUUCCCCCUUUUUUUCCUGCCACUUUUCCAAGAUCUAUUCUAAAACUAAAAAUAUUCCAUUUUUUCCCCUUUUUUGCCCAACCUAUCCAUAAAAAUGGGAAUUUUGGAUUUUUUUGGGAGUUUUGGGUAGUUUUUAUCCUGAUUUUUGCCAGGUUUUCCUUGUUAUUUUGAGGGUUUUGGGGAUUUUUUUGUUGUUUUUUUUGUUUGUUUUAGGUUAUUUUAGGAGUUUUUUGUUGCUCCUUUGGAGCUUUUUGCUGUUUCUUGAGUUUUUGGGGAGUUUUCCUCAUUAUUUUUGGGUUUUUGAGCAGUUUUUUGUUGUUAUUUCUGGGGUUUUUGGUGCUUUUUGGUUGGCGUUGAAUUUUUGGGAAUUUUUGAGUUUUUUUAAGUUUUGGUGGGGUUUGCUCUGAGCUCAGAUCAGGAUUUAAGCUGGGCUUUACUCCAGGCAGGACGAGGCCUCGGUGAAACACUGGGAUGGGUUCUGGGAAACUGGGCUUAAACUGGGUUUUAAAUUGGUUUUAAAUUGGUUUUAAAGUGGGUUUUAAACUGGGUUUUAACUGGUUUUAAACUGGGUUUUAAAUUGGUUUUAAACUGGGUUUUAACUUGGGCUUAAACUGGGUUUUAACUGGUUUUAAACUGGUUUUAAAUUGAGUUUUAACUGGUUUUUAACCCAUUUUGGUUCUGGAUGAUUUUGAACUGGUUUUGAACUGGGUUCUUACUGGGAUUUUACUGUUUUUUUUAAAUUGGGUUUUUACUGGUUUUAACUGGGAUUUUACUGGUUUUUGCUGGGAUUUAACUGGUUUUUAACUGGUUUUUAACUGGUUUUUAACUGGUUUUUAACUAAUUUUUACUUAUUUUAACUGGUUUUGCUGGGCUUUAACUGGUUUGAACUGGUUCUGAUGGUUUUGUUACUCUCCUCCGAGCUGUCCUGGUGUAAAAUUCCACUUUUCCCCUGGGAUCAGAUUUUUCCUGUUCGACCUCCCAAUUAAAACUUUCAUUUUUCCCCCAAAAAUCCCUUUUUUUUUUUUCAAUUUUUCCUUUGAAAAUCCCAAUUUGAAACCCCAACCCAA